rnacentral:rRNA from 1 species
CACGUAGGGCGCAAGCGUUGUCCGGAAUUAUUGGGCGUAAAGAGCUCGUAGGCGGUCUGUUGCGUCUGCUGUGAAAACUCGGGGCUUAACCCCGAGCCUGCAGUGGAUACGGGCAGACUAGAGGUAGGUAGGGGAGAAUGGAAUUCCCGGUGUAGCGGUGAAAUGCGCAGAUAUCGGGAGGAACACCAGUGGCGAAGGCGGCGCUCUGGGCCGGAACUGACGCUGAGGAGCGAAAGCGUGGGUAGCAAACAGG